GCCCGCCUUCGCAGGCCGAGCCGCUGAUCAGAGUCAGCCCUGGCCUCGGGGAAGGGCCUCCCUGCAGGGCUCUUUGCCUUUGGUUCAUAAGAACGACCCCAGUGCCCACAGUGAGCCAUGGCUUCCAGCCAUGCACACUGGGGACCCCUUCCUCAUCCCACGGCCGACUCAGAACCCCCUUGGAGCGGCCACCAACAGGCCCCGUGCUGCUCAGAGAGGGCGACUCGUUCCGGGCCCCUGAGCCGGUGGGGGGUGGGCUUCCGUGGGACGCAGCUGCCUGCCCACAAAGCCCCCCGACCUGGCCGCGAGCCGCAGGAAGACAGAAGUUAGGGUCUCCUGAGUGUCCCCUCCCCAGAAGUGGGGACAGAGGCGGCAGGUGGGGGGAAUCGUCCCCUUCAGCAGCAGCCCGUGCAGGGAGCCGCAGAGGCAGAGAACGGAGUGAGCAGACCACCCAGAGCAGGGGGCAGGCGAGUGGAGUCCACCUGGAACCUGAAGGUGGCCCACGGCUCACCCGAGACCUUGGGGUGGCGACGGUGCCGUCCCUGUGCGGGGAGCCACAAGGCGCCCCCCACCAGGGGCGCACGUGGAAACGAGGUGCUGAGUGGUGAGUGAGCUCUGGGCCAGCAGCACCCUCCAAUGAGGCCUGCCCGUGUACCUCAGCAGGCAGAGCCCCUCCAGGGACACACCUGCCGGCCAAGGGUCCGAGCAGUGCAGCAGUCCAGGGGACUGUGUGGUAGCCGGGGGGGGGGGGUACUGACCGCCCUCCCUGUCCCAGAGCUGAUACGACAGCCCCCUCCCCCUCUGAGUCCCCAGCAUCACCUAAAAUGCUGGCGAUGUUACUUUCCAGCAGCAGGUCAGUGAUGAAAGGAGGGGCCGCCUGCUGGUGCAGGGCCAGAGCGACACUGGAGGACUGGAAGUGGUGGCUCACGAAGGUGAUGAUCACAUCCCUGGAGCGGAGGGGAGACGGCCGCUGGGCUCUCCGGCACACCCCGGCCAGGCAGGCGGACGCCCGACCUCCGCCCUCCUGUUUGCAGCCGCCCUCCUGCCGGUGCCAGCGCACCCAGCAGGUGCGGGAGCGCGGGGAGGUGGGGACUGUUCCUCCAUAAAAUACACUGAAGGAUCAGAUUUGACAACCGCAUUGGCAUGAAGAACCCAGGCCAGAUCCGCUGUGUCUCCUUCUUCCUUCUCACGGGGAGAUCGACUACAUUAGAACACGUUCCGGGUCCCCAGGGCUCUGCCUCCGCCCAAGGGAGAGGCCGGCUCUGUGGGCUCCCGGGCUCAGAGGCGUGCGUGCCGCUACUGCCCUUUGAGACAGACCACGCUUGGGAAAGCCCAGUGGGCCCCGGAGGGGUCAGCGCGUUUCACCGAGUGGCAAUGCGUGCGGGAUGGUGGACAGAUGGCGGGAGACACGUGGCAAGAUUAAAAUACAACCACAGCCCCCAGGGUCACCUGAUUGUCACUCGCUCUGAGGGCUCGAUCUGCAGCAUUAAAGGCAGGAGAGAACAGAAGCUUCCCACAUUGGGGAUCUUCUUCUCCUCCAGGGUCUGCAGGACGCCCCCCAGCCUGUCUGGGUCGCUCCGGAGGGACUUUCGCAGAUGCAUGGCUUCUGUUCUCUGAGGGGACAGUACUGCUCGUGGGCCCGACCCAGACGGUGCCCCGGGGCGAGCUGGCAAGAGGGCCAGAGGUGGAAAGACGCCACGAGAGCCUGCACGGCACGGCUGCCUGAGGUCCCGAGGUGCGUUCAGGCCCGCCAGGGUUGUUUCCUUGGCUUGUACCCCACCGUGGGCCAGCAGGGGCAUGUGAACUCGCUUUUCUCCUCCAUAAGGAGGCAGGGAGCCCCCCAUGCGGGUUAGCCAUGGGGUGGUGUAUCUCAGUCAUCGCCCCCAACGUGCCAGGGCCCCGAAGGCCAAGGGCGGGGGUGCCUCCACCACCGUGGAGGUGCGGAGCAAGGCAGGAGGCUGCAGGUCGGGGGAAGGUGUCCCUUUCGAGCCAAGGUGGGCGGGGCCGGCUCUCCGGGGAUGUGGGGUGUGGGGUCCGGGGCGCGGCAGAGGGGGCAGCCGAAAGGCAGCUCACGUUUAUGAAGGAGCAGCUGACCAUGUCCAGAAUGAUGCAGCCCAGAGACCAGACGUCCGACUUGGGGCUGAAGGAGAAGUUGAGGGCUUCGGGGGCCAUCCAGGACUUCUGGAAAGGGUCUGUUGACGGGAGAAGGUGUCGGACGCAGAGGACCUGUGCUCCCCGGGGGAGCAAGCGGCUCAGAAGGGAAGGGGCGGUGGGCACGGACGAUCCGUGGGCGAAAAGGAAGAGGACCCUGGCCUUCAGCCCGUGAGGCUGCCCACCUGGGCACGUGCGUAGCCAGGUCGGCCCAAGUGCGCACACUCACGUCUUCGUGCCCAACGUGGCUGCACACGUGGUUCGAAAGAGGCGUGUGC